UACAGAGGUGGCGAGCGUUGUUCGGAAUUACUGGGCGUAAAGGGCGCGUAGGCGGCCUUCUAAGUCAGACGUGAAAUCCCCCGGCUUAACCUGGGAACUGCGUCUGAUACUGGGAGGCUUGAGUAUGGGAGAGGGAUGUAGAAUUCCAGGUGUAGCGGUGAAAUGCGUAGAUAUCUGGAGGAAUACCGGUGGCGAAGGCGGCAUCCUGGACCAUAACUGACGCUGAGGCGCGAAAGCUAGGGGAGCAAACGGG
rnacentral:rRNA from 1 species